AGAGUUUGAUCCUGGCUCAGAUUGAACGCUGGCGGCAGGCUUAACACAUGCAAGUCGUACGUGAAAUCGCCUUCGGGUGUGAGUAGCGUGGCGGACGGGUGAGUAACGCGUGGAUGACCUGCCCCUUGGUGGGGGAUAACCCGGGGAAACUCGGGCUAAUACCGCAUACGUCCGCGAGCUUUGGUUCGCGGGGAAAGCUGGCCUCUGAUGCAAGCUAGUGCCGAGGGAGGGGUCCGCGUCGGAUUAGCUGGUUGGUGGGGUAACGGCUCACCAAGGCGACGAUCCGUAGCUGGUCUGAGAGGAUGGUCAGCCACACUGGGACUGAGACACGGCCCAGACUCCUACGGGAGGCAGCAGUGGGGAAUCUUGGACAAUGGGGGCAACCCUGAUCCAGCCAUGCCGCGUGGGUGAAGAAGGCCUUCGGGUUGUAAAGCCCUUUCAGCAGGGAAGAAGCCUUCUGGUUCAAACAGGUCCGGAAGGUGACGCUACCUGCAGAAGAAGCGCCGGCCAACUCCGUGCCAGCAGCCGCGGUAACACGGAGGGCGCAAGCGUUAAUCGGAAUUACUGGGCGUAAAGGGCACGCAGGCGGCCCGUCAAGUGGGAUGUGAAAGCCCUGGGCUCAACCUAGGAAUUGCAUUCCAAACUGGCGGGCUAGAGUCCGG
rnacentral:rRNA from 1 species